AUACUGGAUCUUCAAUGAGUUACUUUCUAUUUUUCACUCGGCAACCGGCUGCAGAUUUCACUCGGCCAACUUCGGUUACUCCUCUACACCAAACCAUGUUUCCAAACAGAGUUAUCUUUCCGUGACCCGCAAAUUAUAUUUUUAACAAUGAGUUGAAUUCUAUAGGAGGUGUUGGAACUCCCGCAAACAGUGCCGGUGGUGCAAGUAAGUUAUAAAAAUAAAUACAACUGACAAAAGGUUAAGGACCACCUUAAAGUAAAACAAGACAGGAAUAUUUGGUCAUUUAAGUAAUAGAUAUUUUUUAAUUGAGGAUUUCGAAAAAUAUAGGAGUCCAUUAGAUGAUCUGGUCAGGAAAAGGAUGAGGAUUACAGACAAGAGUAGUGAUAACCAUCGUCAUGUGUAUCCCUCUCUCACUUGGAGAGAGAGAGAGAAAUGGGGUUUAACGUCCACUCGACUAACAUAUGGUUCAAUUUUAUUUCCAUAAUUCGCUUGCGCGUAGGGAUCUUUAGCUGUGGGAGGAAACCGGAGGACCCGGAGGAAACCCACGAGGUUGGACAGGCGACCCUACUCCUUGUCACGUACAACCGGGGAUUCGAAACCACGCCAGUUGACUCAAUGACAGACUUUAUGAUACAGCUAACCAUUCAGCCAUCCAACCCCCCCCCCCUCUCUCACUUGGAUCACGUCCUCAACACCUCUUGUUUGAUUAGUACCAUGGUACCAAAGGAACCUGAUACUAUUCUUCUUGGAGUGGCAAGACUUAUGCUGGAAGUAUUUUGUGAUGGAUAUUACAUGGUUCCAAAUAAAAACCAUCUGAAUUUAUUGUUGAUGGUUAAAUAUCAAACAGACCUCAUUUUAAACGGUGAGAAGAAAUGGGAAACAUUACCAGGCUGCCAGACACGCCCCAUUGAUAACAAAGGUCUGCCUGCUGCCGCUGUACACAAAACACCCAACCCAGAACCAAUCGAUGCCACAAAAUUGCCGCUAGCAGAAAAAAUUCGACGACUUUCAAUGUUUUUACGAAGUGAAAAAAAAGUAAUCAAUGAAAUUAUGUUGUUUGAGAAUUCUCUGAUGAGUUGUAAAGUUGGAAUUUGACCAGAUUUUUUGAUCGAUGGCAUGGUACAAGGAAAGAACGGAUCCUUUUUCACUGGCCGACUUAAUCUGGGUGGUGUGUUCCUAGCCAGAGCUAUCGGCAUCAACAAGAAAGAAAUCAAACUGUCAUGUUUCAAGAAGGCGGUGGAACUUUAUCGUACCCUUCCUGUCACUGAAAUUUUGAACCAGGAUGAUAUGACCCCAAAAGUUAUCAAGGAGAAACUGGAGAAUUUUAACUCGACCGUUGCUAAGAUGGAGAAAGAAACAAUUGCAGAGUUACCCCCACCAUCUAUUUUGAAACCGAUCCAAGAUAUUCUAACCAAUCCUAAAUAUGCUUCAACCAAUUCAGUCAGCAAAAUGGAGUUGGCGGCCUCUGUGGCUAAAUGUCGAGUCCGUUGUCGAUAUGAUGUAGAGAGUUGUAAAGCUGAAUCAGGGAAAGUUUAUCAUAAGGGAAUGUACUUUAUUGACAACAUACUACAAGGUGCAGGUGUUUCAGUUUCCAAAAAAACUGCUAAGUCAUUGUGUUAUAAUAUGGUGGUUGAACGACUGACCACCAUGAAUGUUGAACAUGGCAACAUCUUAGAUGGUGUCGAACAGUCUGUCAUAACAGAAGCAGAAGCACAGGUUCAGAGCACUUUGGUAAAGGCAGCACCAAAUCCUAGGGCAUUUGAUCUCCGUGAACAGUUUGUCAAAAUGAACGAACAUAGCAGUGCCACGCAUCCUGCAUCCAUCAUUACUGUCUUGGAUGGAAUUUUCAACGAUGUAAAAUUGACGCCCAUUUGUCUAUACCGUCGUAGCAUCAACACAGAAAUAGAAAAGGAGAAAAUUUUCUGUAACCUCUAUCUAGCUGGUCAUUUCAUCAUGAUUGGUGAAGCAGAGAACCGAACAGAUGCCCAAGCAGACGCUUACUCUAAAGCCCGAUAGGUUUCACGAACUGUGACCCCGAGUUCAUCCUCCCCCAACACAGUAAACUUCAACCACACGACCAAGCAGCAACAGAUGUUAUCGACUUUCGUGUCAAGGGCAACUGCAUUUUGGAAGAUAACUGUUCGAAUCUUCAUCGCUUACAAUGGACCCGAAAACCUAUAUCAACACUACCAGCCAAGGAUAUCGUUGUCUUUGAGGACGUCAGUUGGAUAGUAGAUCGUAAAGUUCAAGGUUUCUAUAUUUUACAACAUUCAUGUUUUGUCAACAAUAUGUUGUUGGAAUGGGAGUUUUUUGACAAUGAUGAUCGUGUAUUCAGAUGUCAGAUGAAGAUACAGAAGGAAGAUGUUGGAACCGAACCUGCAGUGUCUCUUAGUAAGAUAGGCUCUAGAAAUUUUGCAGCAGCUGAUAUCUUGUUUAAGCUCUACGAAACACAACCAGUCAUAGAGGUUUCUGCUUACACUAAACCUGAUCAAGCGAUAGAAUCUGUCAGUUUUGAUACGUUGCUUAAAGAAGCGGAGGUGUUGAAGAAAGCUGCCGAGGAUGCAGGAGAAAACGUUACAGCUACUACAGCUGAGGGAACUGAUUCAGAAACUGAGACCAGUGACACAGAUGUUGAAAUGAAGGAAGAAGUAACAGAUUCACAGGCUAAGAAGAAAUAUCCUAGAAAACCACAUUACCGUCAUGCUGAUAGAUUUAUUUUAAAAGCUGCCCAGGCACGACUAGACGAAUUCAUUAAAGUUAAAAUGCUAAAAGAUCUACUGUUUGGACCUGCUUUCCCUCAUCAUAUCACACGCCAGAUUAACGGCUUACUGUAUAACCUCCCCGUUCCAGUUCGCUUUAUAAAUCAUUCCACUAGAAAUCAGAUGUACACCAUUGUAACGCAAAGUAUGUCACCGAUCAAAAUUGUCGCAUUUCUCAAAGCCAACGGUGGACAGUCUGGUCGCUUUCGUUUAGUCGACAAAUCAGAACUUCCGACACAUAAGGACAUUUUACCAGAACUUAAAAGUAGGGAAAUUUUAACUAAGAUCAAAUCCAAAUUUUAGUAGAAAUUUCAAUUUUGAUUGGCUAAGCACUAAAACCAAUCAAAUUGUUGGCUUUUUUUUGCUAAUAAAUAUAAGUGCUAGUCUAA